rnacentral:sRNA from 1 species
GCAGAUAAGAAAAAUUCUAAAUCUUUGGCACAGUGUAAGGAGGGACAGGUUCUCUCCUCUAAGCCUCCAUUUCUUCAUCUUUAUAAUGCAGAUGUUAAUAAUACAUAUGGACAAUUGCUAAUAUCUAGGUUUAUAUGAAGAGUUUAUCACAUAAAACCAUUCAAUAAAUGGUGUUAUUAAUUAAUAUACAGUGCAUCUAUUCUGCUUUCAGCAAACUGUUUCCCAUGUAAGUAAAUUUUUCAGGUAACGCAGGCUCUGUAAGUUUUUCCAGCUAAUUUGGAUUUUUAAAAGCUUUUGUUUAUUUCCUGCUGUUAGGUGAUAUUUUAAACUUGUUUCACUUUCUCCUAUAAAUGUGUAUAUAUGCCUCGGUAAUGAUCCCCUUAGAGCAGUGGUUCCCAACCUUUUUGACACCUGGGACCAGUUUCGUGGAAGACAAUUUUUCCACAGAGAAAUUGAGGUGGGGAGAUGGUUUCAGGAUGAAACUAUUUCACCUCAGGUCAUCAGGCAUUAGUUAGAUUCUCAUAAGGAGCACACAGCCUAGAUCCCUCGCAGGCAUAGUUCGCCAUAGGGUUUGUGCUUCUGUGAGAAUCUCAUGCUGCCGCUGAUCCGACAGGAGGCAGAGCUCAGGUGGUAAUGCUUGCUCGCCAGCCACUCACUGCCUGCUGUGUAUCCCAGUUCCUAACAGGCCGCAGACCCAUGACCCAUAACCCAUACCAGUCUGCAGCUCGUGGGUUGGAGACCCCUAGCUUAGAGAAUUCUCCAAAUGCACAUUCCAAGAAAUAAAUGGAGCUUCCUACUUUGAAUGCUAUACUUUACUAAAAGUUUGCUAAAAUGUAAUCUGAUUUUUAUUACUGAUUUAGUAUUGAACACAUAACUGUGCCUUGCUUUUGAUAGAAAUAAUGAGAAUUUGCAAAAGUAUGCUCUCUAAUUGAAUCCACUGAUCUGUAUAAAAAAAAAAUUUUUUUUUUGAGUCUCCGUCACCCACGCUGGAGUGCAGUGGCUUGAUCUUGGCCCACUGCAGCCUCCAACUCCCUGGCUGAAUCAGUUCUCCUACCUCAGCCUCUCAAGUAGCUGUGACUACAGGCAUGUGUCACCAUGCCUGGCUAAUUUUUUAACUUUUUUGUAGACAGGUGGUUUCAUCAUGUUGGCCAGGCCUCAAACUCCUGGGCUCAAGUGAUCAACCCACCUCCAGCAUCCCAAAGUGCUGGGAUUACAGGCAUGAGCCACCAUGCCCAGCCUAUAAGAUAUUCUUAAGUGAGCUGUUGAAUUAAAAUUAAUCCUGUUGCUGACCCAGGACCAUCAUGAAUAGAAUAGUACCAAAUAGAAUCUAUGUAACAGUGGUGAUACCAUCAUCAAGAAUUAAAUUCCUACUUGUCACUACACCUUAUCUGGACUCAUAGAUAACAAUUUUUUUUUUCUUUUGUUACCUUCAGUGUUACAGAGUUUUAGUCUUCUUAAUAAUAACAACUUAGGUUUUUCUAUUUUCAGUAUGCAACGUUCCUUAUUUAUGUAACAUGUUGCUUUUAAUGUGUUAUAAAUUCAUAAACCCUAGAACACUAGGUUUGUGAAGUUAGUGAACCUAGUGAAGCUAUACUAUAUCUUUAUGAAUGAAGUGAAUGAACUUUGGUACACAGGUUUCUUAAUGUUUAUUUUAGCUGCAUAGAAGACUUUGUGCAAAAGAAAUGAUACAGCUUUGCCUAGCACACAUGACAAAAUUGUGAUUUCCUCACAGGCACACUUUGUUCUUUCCUACUUCUGUGAAGGUAAAUUUAAUACAAUAAAAAAUAUUUUUUAAUGGGAUUAUUUAAAACUUAAUUAUAUUUCCUGAGUUUAGUAGCUAAUUUUGCUUCACUGACACAACAUUGUGGUUUGUUUGCCAUUUUCAGAUAUUAAGCAGGAAAAGGCAUCAAGAGAUCAAGUUUGAACUCCUAAUUUUUAUAUAGAUAUAACUCUCAAAGUGCUAUCAUUUUCCACAUUUGGUUUAAAUCGUGUAUUGUUAAUAUCACAGCUGUCAAAGAACAUAAUUCACUUAAUUGUAUUUUGACAGUUGGUCUACUUAUGUUUUUUGAGAUGGAGUUUCACUCUUGUCACCCAGGCUGGAGUGCAAUGGCACGAUCUCGGCUUACCGCAGCCUCUGCCUCCCGAGUUCAAGCGAUUCUCCUGCCUUAACCUCCUGAGUACCUAGCAUUACAGGCGCGUGCCACCCGGCCUAGCUAAUUUUGUAUUUUUGUAGAGACAGGGUUUGUUGGCCAGGCGGGUUCGAACUUCUGACCUCAGGUGAUCCACCCACUUUGGCCUCCCAAAGUGCUGGGAUGAGGCUCACAGGCAUGAGUCACCACACCCAGCCCGAAUUUAUGAUGUGGUGGAAUUCAGUGAAUAAAUUUAAUGAAUAAACUGCAUUGAACCGUAUGAAAACAUGUGUGUGCUUUAUUUACGGUGUGAUUUAGGAAAUUUAUCUUUGACAUUUGCCUAAGUCUGCGUGCCAUCAGUUUAAUUUAAAGCUAGACUUAUGGUAUGGCUUUGAUUGUUUUGAUUGUUUGAUAAAUUGGUAUAUGUGUUAGCACAAGUGUAUUUAUUAUUGCAAGGCACAAUACCUAAAAAGCCUUAUUGAGAUAAUUAAAAUACUCAUGUUCCCUUUGAUUGAUGUUUCUUUUUUCUUUUUCUUUUUUUUUUUUUUAAUAGGACUUCUGUAACGAUAAGAGUUAUAUUUCAGAAGAGACAAGAGUACUUCUGUUAACAGGAAAGCCAAAGCCUGCUGGAGUACUAGGUGCAGUGAAUAAGCCUUUAUCAGCAACGGGAAGGAAACCCUAUGUUAGAAGCACUGGCACUGAGACUGGAAGCAAUAUUAAUGUAAAUUCAGAGCUGAACCCUUCAACCGGAAAUCGAUCAAGGGAACAGAGUUCAGAGGCAGCAGAAACUGGAGUUAGUGAAAAUGAAGAGAACCCUGUGAGGAUUAUUUCAGUCACACCUGUAAAGAAUAUUGACCCAGUAAAGAAUAAGGAAAUUAAUUCUGAUCAGGCUACCCAGGGCAACAUCAGCAGUGACCGAGGAAAGAAAAGAACAGUAACAGCAGCUGGUGCAGAGAAUAUCCAACAAAAAACAGAUGAGAAAGUAGAUGAAUCGGGACCUCCCGCCCCUUCCAAACCCAGGAGAGGACGUCGACCCAAGUCUGAAUCUCAGGGCAAUGCUACCAAAAAUGAUGAUCUAAAUAAACCUAUUAACAAGGGAAGGAAGAGAGCUGCAGUGGGUCAGGAGAGCCCUGGGGGUUUGGAAGCAGGUAAUGCCAAAGCACCCAAACUGCAAGAUUUAGCCAAAAAGGCAGCACCAGCAGAAAGACAAAUUGACUUACAAAGGUAAUGUACGCCAUUCUUCCUCAAGUGGGAAUUUAGACAUUUUGUUUUAUUCGUAGUAUAUUCUUAGUGCCAGUCACCCCAAACACCUAAGCAUUUGAGAGAGAAACCUGCAUCUGGUUUUCCUGGGUCCAUUUAUAAUAGCAUCUGUUAUUAUCUCAUAACUUCCAGUUUUAAGGCACAAAUUUGAAGAAAAAUCUUUUUUGUUUGUGUAAUUUUUAUUUAGGAUAUGGUAUUUUGAUAUUUCUAUUUUUAUUAACAAGACAAAUAUUUCUUUUGCUUAGUGCCUUUCAAGUGGUUGCAGAGGUUUACAUAAAAUAAGGGCUGCCUUUUGGAUACAAGGUCCCAGAAAUGGAGAAAACAGUCACAAAAUGUCAAUAGGUAAUAGGUCCCACUCUUUAAUUCUUCGUGUUAUAGUUAAUUCUAACACAGGUCAACAACUUACAUCUUCCCCACCCUGCCCAGAAAAACAACUUACCAAACUGUUCAUCUUUGAUCAUUCUUGUGCUGAGAUUUCAGACUUUUCCUGUUGGAAAUCUAGAAGGUGGCUCCUUUCACCUUGGCCUUAGAACUUAACUCAUCCUCCUUUUUUCCUUACAUACCUAACUCAUUUACCCCUGAAUUAGACUGUAGGCAUUUGAGUUUCUUCUAGGGAAGAGUCCCAGAUUUGAUCAGCUCAGGAUACCCCCACUAUCCUGCUUCAGUAUUUUUAUAAAACUCAAUGUCAGGCCGUGCUCAGUGGCUCAUGCCUGUAAUCCCAACACUUUGGGAGGCCUAGGUGGGUGGAUCACCUGAGGUCAGGAGUUCAAGACCAGCCUGACCAACAUGGUGAAACCCCAUCUCUACU